GUACACAAAAAUGCACAUGCUGUGAGCUCGAUGAGUAGGGCGGGACACGUGGUAUCCUGUCUGAAUAUGGGGGGACCAUCCUCCAAGGCUAAAUACUCCUGACUGACCGAUAGUGAACCAGUACCGUGAGGGAAAGGCGAAAAGAACCCCGGCGAGGGGAGUGAAAAAGAACCUGAAACCGUGUACGUACAAGCAGUGGGAGCCUCUUUAUGGGGUGACUGCGUACCUUUUGUAUAAUGGGUCAGCGACUUAUAUUCUGUAGCAAGGUUAACCGAAUAGGGGAGCCGGAGGGAAACCGAGUCUUAACUGGGCGUUAAGUUGCAGGGUAUAGACCCGAAACCCGGUGAUCUAGCCAUGGGCAGGUUGAAGGUUGGGUAACACUAACUGGAGGACCGAACCGACUAAUGUUGAAAAAUUAGCGGAUGACUUGUGGCUGGGGGUGAAAGGCCAAUCAAACCGGGAGAUAGCUGGUUCUCCCCGAAAGCUAUUUAGGUAGCGCCUCGUGAAUUCAUCUCCGGGGGUAGAGCACUGUUUCGGCAAGGGGGUCAUCCCGACUUACCAACCCGAUGCAAACUGCGAAUACCGGAGAAUGUUAUCACGGGAGACACACGGCGGGUGCUAACGUCCGUCGUGAAGAGGGAAACAACCCAGACCGCCAGCUAAGGUCCCAAAGUCAUGGUUAAGUGGGAAACGAUGUGGGAAGGCCCAGACAGCCAGGAUGUUGGCUUAGAAGCAGCCAUCAUUUAAAGAAAGCGUAAUAGCUCACUGGUCGAGUCGGCCUGCGCGGAAGAUGUAACGGGGCUAAACCAUGCACCGAAGCUGCGGCAGCGACGCUGAUGCGUUGUUGGGUAGGGGAGCGUUCUGUAAGCCUGUGAAGGUGUGCUGUGAGGCAUGCUGGAGGUAUCAGAAGUGCGAAUGCUGACAUAAGUAACGAUAAAGCGGGUGAAAAGCCCGCUCGCCGGAAGACCAAGGGUUCCUGUCCAACGUU
rnacentral:rRNA from 1 species